rnacentral:rRNA from 1 species
AUUGAACGCUGGCGGCAUGCCUUACACAUGCAAGUCGAACGGCAGCACGGGAGCAAUCCUGGUGGCGAGUGGCGAACGGGUGAGUAAAGUAUCGGAACGUGCCCAGUCGUGGGGGAUAACGUAGCGAAAGUUACGCUAAUACCGCAUACGAUCUAUGGAUGAAAGCGGGGGAUCGCAAUACCUCGCGCGAUUGGAGCGGACGAUAUCCGAUUAGGUAGUUGGUGGGGUAAAGGCUCACAAAGCCGACGAUCUGUAGCUGGUUUGAGAGGACGACCAGCCACACUGGGACUGAGACACGGCCCAGACUCCUACGGGAGGCAGCAGUGGGGAAUUUUGGACAAUGGGCGAAAGCCUGAUCCAGCCAUGCCGCGUGCAGGAUGAAGGCCUUCGGGUUGUAAACUGCUUUUGUACGGAACGAAAAGGUUUGGCCUAAUAAGCUGAGCUCAUGACGGUACCGUAAGUAUAAGCACCGGCUAACUACGUGCCAGCCGCCGCUGUAA